UUAGGACUACUGAUUGUUUGGGGACAUCCAAAAUCACUCAGGAUUGUGGUGACCAGUUGAACAGAGAUAUGCCAAAUGCAGGCAGUGAUUUAUAUCCCUGCAGAAGGAGUCUCGCCCUGUCACCAGGCUGGAGUGCGAUGGUGCAAUCUCUGCUCACUGCAACUUCCACCUCCCGGGUUCAAAUUUCUCCUGCCUCAGCCUCCUAAGUGGCUGGGACUACAGGUGCCUGCCGCCACGCCUGGCUAAUUUUUUGUAUUUUAGUAGAGAUGGGGUUUAGGCUGGUCUCGAACUCCUUAGCUCAGGCAAUCUGCCCUCCUGAGCUCAGGCAAUCUGCCUGCCUGGGCCUCCCAAAGUGCUAGGAUUACAGGCAUGAGCCACCGCCCUCAGCCACUAUCUUAUUUUUUAGCGUAUCUGAAUUAAAAACAUAAAGUCUUCUCUAUGUAUGUUGAUGAUAAACUUUGGGUUUCAAGGAAAAGAGUCACUCAGGCAACUUCCAAGAAUGGGAGGGGAGAAGGGGUUAUUAUAGGAUACAGUGGAAAUAAAUCUGGGAGGAAUCUCAAUCAUGUUCCAAGAGCUUGCAGGGGCCCAGAGAAAUUCUCACAAUGAGGCCUCACAGGAAAAGCAAGAAUACCGAGAGCAGGAAAGCUUGGAGGCUAAGAGUUCCCUUGGAAGUUGAACUACUGCCUGAGAAUAUUAAAACAAAAACAGAAACACGUAAAUAGCCAGCCCUGAAACCAGCCUCUCAACUUCUGAUAGGUUAUAUUUACAUUUAUGUACUUCCCU
rnacentral:lncRNA from 1 species